rnacentral:rRNA from 1 species
UACGGGGGGGCAAGCGUUGUUCGGAAUUACUGGGCGUAAAGGGCUCGUAGGCGGCCAACUAAGUCAGACGUGAAAUCCCUCGGCUUAACCGGGGAACUGCAUCUGAUACUGGAUGGCUUGAGUUCGGGAGAGGGAUGUGGAAUUCCAGGUGUAGCGGUGAAAUGCGUAGAUAUCUGGAGGAACACCAAUUGCGAAGGCAGCUUACUAUGGUUAUAUUGACACUGAGGCACGAAAGCGUGGGGAUCAAACAGG